UCCUCCUGAUGCCCACGGUCCUUCUGUGAGUACUUAACGAGUAUAGUUGUUACUGCCCAAGCUAUAACAUAUUUUUUUUUGGACUAAAUGCCCACGGUCCUUCUCUGAGGACGAAUACUUUGUGUUUGAACCAUAUUUGAAUUUACCGCUAUUAUUUUUUGGGAUUGCAUCAAUGGAUUUAACAUUCCAUCACUGACAGCUGUCAUAAGUGUCAUCUGAGGAUAAUCAAUCGUUCAUUGUACAAACGUCAAAAAACGGAACCAUGGCGGGGCCACCGUCGACUAAAAUAUAAUGCGAAAUCCAAGAAAUUGAAGCAGAUUUAGCUAUGUCGGACAUAGAUCUCUCGGAGGACGAUGACAUGACAUAAAUGACUCACCAUGAACCCGUAGAAUUUGAAUUUUGUGAUGAUGAUAUCCAGGAGUUGCUAGCUGAGCCUUUCAUUUUAUCUUAUUUUGUUCCUAUAUUGAUCCCAAUAAUUAUAAUAGUUGAUAAGUGUAAGAGUUUAUCUAGAAUAAAUAUAAGUUCUAAACUUAUGUGAGACUGAUUUAAAGUGUUAAAUGUGUUCCUAAGUGAUUCUUAUUUCAUAAGUUUUGUUAUUUCUGACAAAUUACCUUAUAAAUAUAUUUCCUACCAAUAAAUUAAACUUUUUUUAACUGCCCACGGUCCUCACAUGAGGACUAAUGAUUUUCGAAUUUAAACCUAUUGAAACUGGUUCCUUUUUUAAUGCAUUAACCGUACAUACUACUAGGAACACUAUAUAAUAAUUUUUGCGACAUUUAUUCACGUUUAAGUUUCUGGGCAGUAAGCUAGGUAAACGCAAUAGUCCUUGUGUGAGGACCGUGGGCAGAUAGUCCUAAAAAAUAAAAUAACGGCUGGGCGUCAGGAGGAUAUACAGG